rnacentral:lncRNA from 1 species
UGGGAGCCAGUGGCCAGUACAAAUCGUACUGAAAAUUGUUUAGCAGGUUUUGAACGUGAUCUAUGACGAUAACUACGGAGAAUAGAAGGAUUAGGUGGUCUCGUUCCUGCGCUCAAGUUUGGUUCAGAGAUGAAGGCUGCGCCCGCUGAUAAACUACGCCGACUCUGAUGAUUGUCCGUGAAGGAGGAGCCUUUACCGCUGUCGCGCUACAUCGACUCUGAUAAAGACUCGCGUGUGUUCUCGCUAGAAAAACGAUGUAAUAGGCUUGUUGACCAAGAGUUGUAAAGUAAAUGUGUUGUAAUCUUGUUUCUCACGAUGUAUGACUACGAUAACAGCUGAUAUAUGAUAAUGCGAUGGUUCAAUUUUUGAAUUAUCACAUUAUAAUUCGAAUCUGUGGAUUUUUCCCUUUGUGGAAGAAUCUAGGUCGUUUCAGUUGGUAUCAGAGCCAUACUUGACCCUAGGACGAGACCUUUAGGACCAAACGCUAGUUUAGAAGCCAAACAUUCUAUCUUUUGUAGAGUUAUAGAUGCUAACACUUGUUUUCCCCCCCUCCGCCUUGAAUUCUACUGCUAACUGACCUCCCUGUUUCAUAAAGUUGACCGUUGGAAUCUUUUCCCAUACCCGCCCACGCUAGAUCGGUAGUCGUGUGAGACUUUGAAGGUCUGUGAGUCGCCUCAAGUCAACACUAUGCAUUAGGAGUUGUAAUGCUGUUUGAGUGCUCGGAUCUUAAGUUGUUGCAUUCCUUUGGCUUCUUGUUGUCUGAGUGUAAGUCAUAGAACUUGUUUUAUGCGAGAAAGACUCUGGUUUCCGUCCAACCUAGUCGGCUAAACCUAAGACCGUCCCGAGACUAGAUAGGUGGCCCUGACUAACAAAGUUAAAAGUUAGGUAAAGCUGUUGCAUCAUGUGUUGCUCGCCUAUUUCAAAACUGUUUUUGGCUUCCAAAAUGAACCUGUCUUCAAAAUUUUCUCUCCUUUUGGUUAAAAUGUCCCCUCUCUAACAAAAGCAUCCUUGUUUCAAAAGGAAAAGUGUUUCAAAACUCUCUUAAUAUCUUUCAUUUUCACAAAGAGAGCCAUUUUAACCCUUUUCUCAACUCAAUUUUAUUCAAACUCUAUUUAUGAAAUGAUUUAAAAAUAAGUUAUCUUUCAAAAGGUAUGACAAAAUCGCUUCAGAAAAACAAAAGUUUUGAUUUUCAACAACAAAGUGGUUUUCAAACCAAAGAUUUGGCUCGGCUUUGUUUUAAAGGUCUUUGAUUUUAUCUCGAGAGCCAAAUUCCUUUUUAAAAAUCAACCUUCUCUUAAAAAGAAAAAGGAAUUGCCAGUGAUUUAUUAAACAAAACCAUUGCGAAAAGAUUUUUGUUUGCAGCCUUCUAAAAAUUUAGCAAAAACAAAAUGAUCUUACAAGAUUUAAAAGAAAAUGUUUUUGUUGUUAAAGCUUUAUAUUUCAAAAGAGAGAAAUGAUUUUUAAUUAUUUUCAAAACUAGUCUGUUUAAUUCAAAUAAAAGAGAACGACACCUCAUUUAAAAAAAUAAAAGAGUUUCAAAGUCUCUUGAUUUGAAAUCUUUUACAUUAAAAAUCUUAAAAUAAUAAUAAUAAUAAUAAAAAAAUAAAAGAGUUUUAAAAUCUCUUGGUUUAAAAUCUUUUAUAGCAAAACCUUCAGAAAAGUUGGUUUUCAAAACUUGCACUGAUUUCGACCCUCUUCAAAAGCUCUCUUCAUUUUGAAGUCAAAAAAAAAAAACCUUUGACUUUGUAAAAGCGAUUUCACCCUAUUUUUGAAACCUGUUUCCCAAAAAAAUCUCUCCCUUCAAAAGCCUUUUUCAAAAGGUGAUGCAUGAAAAACAGCUGGUGAAAGCCAACAACCCUAGCUAUGUUUAAGCCUGCCAUACUCUCUUUGAGAGCCAGAUGUUCAUCAACCCCGUGCGAUUCUUGGACACCCAUCGCCCUGAUGUGAAAAUUUGGAUGCCCAACGACUGCAAGUGAGCCUUGCAUACACUUGGAACAAGAGUCACUCCCAUUUUGGAAAAAGUUUGUGGAGCGAUCAUACUAAAAGCAAAACAACUCAAAAGUAAGAAGAACUUCUGAAACGACGCCCUCGUUUCUCCACCGACCGAGCAACGCCUAAAUCUCGGGGACGAGAUUCCUGUAAGGUGGGUGGACUGUAACAUCCCAGAUUUUUUUUACGAAAGCCAAAAAUACGAGCUUUUUAAAAUUUUUCCUGUAAUCGUGUGAAGCAUAUAGUUUUUAGGUCUAACUCGAUUCUAACCCGCUAACAAGUCGUCGCAUUCAUAUAGAAUUGUUUGUAGGCGAGUGCUUUUGUUCGUGAGUCGUCUUGAGUUGGGUCUUGUUUAAGGUUUUGAGUUUCUUUUGGAGUGCACAAAUCCUUAGCAAAGUAUUCCCAAAUCUCCGUUGAGCCUAUCUCAAAGGCGAAGCGAAUCCUUUCUCAAUCUUUUCAUUGGAGUACGUCUCAAACUCCUUUAAUCCAUUUUGAACUCUUUUCCAAAUUCCCUUCUCCAAAACUUUUCUCUUGCUGAUCUCAUCACCAAAUCUCUGCCGCUAAAUCUAUCUUAAAUUCGUGGUGACUCAUCUCAAUCUCUUUUCCCUUUCCCGCUCAAUCAUUUUAGCAAAUAGUGGAAAAUCCUUCAAUUCCUUUCUCCAAAUAGAAAUUGGAAUAUUCUUUUCCCUCUCUGUCUCCUUGAAAUAUAAAUGGGAAGAGCAUUCUUAUUCCUCUUGGGCUCAACCCCUCAACCAGCCCACCACUCCUUGCCCCUCUUUUUCCCCUUUUAAAUUUCACUCAAGCCCUUGCGUCAAAUUCGUAAAUGGAAAAUCCAUCUCCUUUCAUGGGCCAAUUCUUUCCCCUCCCCUCUGCCCCCUGCUGCGGCCCAGAGCGCUCCUUGGCCCAACCGGCGCCCUCCCCUUCCCCUUAGCCCAGCUGGAGGCCUGCCAGGCCCAGCAGCGAAGCCCACGCGCGUGGCCCAUCUCCCUCUGUGGCCCAGCCGCACCUCCCCUUGGCCCAACCAGCCGCUCGGCCCAGGCAGCGCCCCCUUCUCCCCAACCCUAGGAACCGCGCCGCUCCCAGGUAGAGCCGCCACCGCCGCCGCUCGGUGGAAAGGCCACGAGCGCCAGCGCCCCUCCUGUCCCUGUCCGCGCCAGCCCAGGAUUCCCGCCGCGUGUCCCGCUGCGGACACGGACGCCGAGGAUGAACGCCUCCACUCUGAAGCCCUAGCCUCGACGCCUAUAAAGAGCCCAGCCGCCGCCACGCCCUCGAGCUCUUCCCUAGUGGCGCCGCCGCAGUCCUCUGUUCCCUCCACCCAGCGCCGCCGCCCUCCGCCUUGUCCUCCAUGACCGGCGCCGCGACAACGCCUUCACGUCAAGCCUGGACGCCACCGAGGCCCCGGCGUCCUCCGCGACCGCGGCGUCGUGCGGACUCGCGACCGCGGACGGCCACGCGGAUGCCACGGCCGCACCGGGACGCAGGCGCUUGAGUUGUCCGCGACGAGCACCCACUGCGCCACCGAGAGCCCGAGACGACGGCGCCCUUGCCUCGACGGCUGACAUGACGCCCAGAAGCCACCUUCGCCGAGCCGUGGCCAGCCGCGACGCUGCCCUCGCCGCGUCGAGCUUCGACCACGGCUGGCCGCGCGGGCGCCACAGCACUGCCGAGCCGCCUCGGUGCCCCGCGACGCCGAGCACCGCCGCGCCGAGCUUCGACUGCGACCUUGCCCAGGAGCCCGCGGCGUCCCCAUCCUCGCCCGCGAGCUCUCCCCCGAGCCCCGUCUUCGGCCAGCACCGCGAGCACGGCGCCCCUCCGCGUCCGCGUCCUCGACCUCGCCACGACCUCGACGCCGAGCAGGAGCUCCGCACCCCCGCCGGAGCACGACGCUACGACCGUGCCGCGCCAAGCACUACGACCCCGACCCCGACGCAGUUCUGCGCCACCCCGUGACGUCGCCCACGCCCUCACCACCAGCCCCGGCCUCGCCCCCAAGCCCAGGGCCGCGCGCGACGCCGGCUCCGGCCACGGCCGACCUGAAGCCCGUGGCGUCCACGUCCGCGCUCAGGAGCCGCGACCACCGAGCGCGACGUCGGGCCCCGACGCGUCCCCGUCCUCGCCACGGUCACCGCGUCAAGCUCUUGUCCCUGUCUUCGCCAAGCCAAACCCCGGUGAGCUCGCCAAGACCAAAGUUUUCCCCUUCCUGCGUUCACCAUGCUGAGAUCGGCCUUCGUGCCGUGUUCUACACCUUGCAGGGAGGAUGUGCCCUUGGGGCACCAUUGCCGCAUGGCUGGACCACACUGCUGCCCUCGGCUAACCCCUGGACUCGCUGCAGCAAGCCGCAACCGCUUCCAACCAGCUGCAGCAAGCCACAGCUGGUCAGCGGCAGAUCAUAGCCGGAUCAGAGUGGCAGCAGCAGGUCUCCGCCACCUUCCUCGCGUUCGUCAAGGUCGACCUUUUUGCACUUAGUCGACGCCCUUCGCGACGUCGACGAAACCCUUGUUCUUUUCUCAUACCCUUGUAUGUUGAUGAUUCUUGAUCAUAGUCGUCUAUACAUGUCAUACAUCUCCGAUCUCGUUUAAUACAUGAUCUGUCUCUAUUAUAUCUCUGCCUGUGCCGUGCCUUCGUGCCGGUCUAUUUAUCUAUCUAUGAAUCUCUCUAACUCGUGCUAUGGAUGUUUGUGCUACUCCGAGUUGUCAUCUCCCUUGUGUUGUCUUUGGUUGAGUCGCGAUUCUUUGUGUGUUUGUUCUUGUCGUUGUGGACCGUGUCGUCGAGCCGGUUGAGAGAGUGACGUGUUUGAAUGUUGCGAUCGCGAGUUCGUCUCGCCAUGGUCGUAGUGCCAAGCAUGUCCCUACUCUCGUGUUGUCGAUGUUCUUUCUUUUUGUUAUUUGCCUGAGGACCGAGCCUUCGAGCCGGUCGGGAAAAUGGUAGUGCGUUUGAUCAUCUCGAUCGUGGGUUUGUCCCGUCGUGAUCUUGAUGCCGAGCGUAACUCGUUUUCUCGUGUUUAAUCGACUCUCUAGUGCCAUGAUCGUUAGCGACCCUAUUUGACCCACAGGCGUGGUCACCAUGGACUUGCUGUCGGUGCGCCUCCUACCCGCACCUGGCAAGCCACUCGUGACCUAGUUUAGUGGGAGACUAGCGGACGACAAUCGUGGGACUUAUGAAAGCCAACUCGUUAGGUGAAGAUCAUGGCCGCGAGUCCACCUCGCCAUGGUCAUCGGGCUUUACCUUGUUUCUCGCAUGAUUAUCUUAUCUGUAUCGUAUGCUUAUGCCACCUAGACCCGGGCAUUUCCCCUAGUUCCCGCGAUGACAACCGCAUCGCCUGGAACUAUAGGAAUGACCUUGUGCAGAUUCAAAAGCACCUAGGUCGUGAAGUGCUAUAAGUUGGAAUAGAUCGUGGGGUCGUAUCUCUUUUAUCCAACCGUUUUUCGUUCUAUGGCGUGUUGGUUGGAAGAAUGUGAUUUCGUUCUUCUCUCUUGGUCUCAAUCCCCGUCGAUCCAGUAAGAUGUAGAUUGAGCCCCUUUUACUUGUUUGAUGUUUUGUUUCCAAUCCCGCGAUUCCCGUCGUUGUUAUGGCGAGCGGAUCAAUGGAGAGUGAAACCCGUGUCUUUCUUGCCUUUUGGGUUCUUCGUGCUUAAACUCUUGUAUGCUUGUACCUAAUCGACCGUAGCAUUUCUUUGGUUCUCGUGGUGACAACCGCACUGCUAAGAACCCUAGGGAUGUCUUAGUGCAUUCAGUGUACCUAGGUUGUGGUACCCUACAAGUAGUUUGAGCACUCGUGAUCUUGUGUGUCACUCUUUCAGACUCCCCGUCUCUUACCAUGGCGAGUGGAUUGGAAGGAGUAGACCACUUUCCCUUUUCUUCUCUCCUUGUUCCACCCUCUCUUGGCUCUCGCCAACUACAAUGGCGUAUGGAUUGAGAGAGACCGGAACUUCCCGUGCUCAUAGCCUUUUCGAUUCCUGUCGAUCUCUAUGACACUUGGAUCGAAAGACUGUAAGUUGUGGUGUUUGCUUAGAAUGAGUUAGAGUCCAAGCCAUUUAAUAAAGCCGUACAGGUUGACUCAGUUAACCCGGGAAGUACCGGCUAGGCUAAGACUCCAGCUUGUACUUAGUGAACAACCAUUCCCGUUUCUUUUAGCCCAGAGAUCGGACAUCCGCCGAGAGGGCUAAGCCGUUUUCCUUUCGUUGCGCUUUUAGAGUAGUUGUUCCUCAGUGUUGUGUCGUCUCUUUUCGCGAUCUUUCUAGGUCUAGUGGUUUGAUUGUUUCGCCUUGAUUGUCGUUUACGAGGUAGUUGCUUCGGUUAGCGAUGAUCGAAUCGGAACCAGUCGAAGGAAGGACAUGCAGAUAGGAGAAAGACCUUGGAUGAGUACAACUACAAGUGAACUGAGGAUCCUGGAAAUGUCACUCGACAGGUGCCACGUCCCACCCAACCUCGUAGAAUCCUAUUAGACAUGCAAUAUUAUAGAUGCUAGUGCUUUACUUUUAUGCAAAUGAACUAUGAUAGGUUGCAUGGUAGAAAUGCUUGUGAGCCAUUGCCUUGUUGCAACCUAUAACCCUCGCACACCCGCUGUUAGGUUAGAUGCUUGCAUACUACUUGCUACUGCUUCUACUACGCAUUAUAUCUGUGAUGUGAUGCAUUGUGGAGGAUUGGAUGUGAGUGGAUAAGGCACGUGUGUCGAUAACUGGUUAAGAAAUGGAUAAUGGAUAUGGGGAGAUCUUGGCGUGUGUCUUGGGUGUGUGGUGAGGGUCGAGUCGACCGAGCAGGAUUUACGACGAGUCUUGGGACAAGUCUUGCCGGGGAACGCUACCUGGGCGUUCUCCAUGAGAGAUACCUGUGGCGGGUACAUGUGACAGGGAGAGGUCCCGGAGUGGAGUGUCUUCGUGGGACGAAGCACCGGGAUGGGAGGUGCUGUAUAGCACGGGGUAGCCGGGUGUCCCGUCGAGAGGGGCAUCGGCUGGCCCCUCGUGAAGAUGUCCUGUUCGGUUACCCUAAGGACUGAGAUGUUCUGAGAACCGGUUCGUAGGAAGCCUUACACGCCACUCGCCUUAUUAUGGUGCGGGACGGAUGUACGACCAGCUAGUGCGGUGCCACUACUACUAGGUUGAUAGCGGAUAGUGUAGGGAGGUACGGGCAUGAGGACCCACACCCUCCUAAGACAGCGUAGUGACCCUUGGGGGCCCGGUACUACGCCUCACAGUCUCAGCAUGCCGGUGGUACUCCGGUAUGGCCCCAGUCCUGAGUGGUAGGGUGGCAUCGUAUUUAGUUGGAAGGCAGCCCGGUAUCAGCCUAGACGAGCCGGUUCGUCGAUGAUGGUGAUCUUGUGGUUAGUGUAAACCUCUGCAGAGUUUGGUUGAUCGAUCGAUACAUAUGCCGUCUUCUCGGCUAUGGACCUUUCCUAUGAUCCGCUUCGCUUGACUAGUGAGAGGAGUCCUUUCUACCUUCCCCUGGGUUUGUGUUGGAUCCGGCGUUGGCCGUUGAGGCAAGGCACGAGCGGGAGUCGUACUUGCCGCCUAGAGAGUGAGAGUGUGGUGAGAUGUGUGUGAUGGGAUGGAUGGAUGGAUGUGUGGAUGAGAUGGAAUAAAACUUGAUGAAUUAUUAUUAUAAAAUAUUGAUGAACUUGCAUAGGAAAAACUACAGCUAUACAUAGGCCUCUUGAUAUACCCUUUGCAUUUCCACCUACCACAAAGCUACGCAAAAGCAUAGGGUGGGAGCCAGUGGCCAGUACAAAUCGUACUGAAAAUUGUUUAGCAGGUUUUGAACGUGAUCUAUGACGAUAACUACGGAGAAUAGAAGGAUUAGGUGGUCUCGUUCCUGCGCUCAAGUUUGGUUCAGAGAUGAAGGCUGCGCCCGCUGAUAAACUACGCCGACUCUGAUGAUUGUCCGUGAAGGAGGAGCCUUUACCGCUGUCGCGCUACAUCGACUCUGAUAAAGACUCGCGUGUGUUCUCGCUAGAAAAACGAUGUAAUAGGCUUGUUGACCAAGAGUUGUAAAGUAAAUGUGUUGUAAUCUUGUUUCUCACGAUGUAUGACUACGAUAACAGCUGAUAUAUGAUAAUGCGAUGGUUCAAUUUUUGAAUUAUCACAUUAUAAUUCGAAUCUGUG